ACCCUACGGGGUGCAGCAGGCGCGAAAACUUCACACUGCAGGAAACUGUGAUGAGGGAACUCCAAGUGACUGCACAAUGUGUAGCCUUUUCUUGAAUUUUAAUAGUUCUUGGAAUAAGGGCUGGGAAAGACCGGUGCCAGCCGCCGCGGUAAUACCGGCAGCUCGAGUGGUCGUCGCUUUUAUUGGGCCUAAAACGUCCGUAGCCUGUUUGGUAAAUCUGUGGGUAAAUCAACGAGCUUAACUCGUUGAAUUCUGCAGAGACUGCCAGACUAGGGACCGGGAGAGGUAUGAGGUACUCUGGGGGUAGGGGUAAAAUCCUGUCAUCCUCAGAGGACCACCUGUUGCGAAGGCGUCAUACUGGAACGGAUCCGACGGUCAGGGACGAAGCCUAGGGGCACGAACCGGAUUAGAUACCCGGGUAGUCCUAGGUGUAAACGCUGUGGAUUUGGUGUGUGGGGUCCGCAAUGGGCCCCAUGUGCCGGAGUGAAGAUGUUAAAUCCACUGCCUGGGAAGUACGGUCGCAAGGCUGAAACUUAAAGGAAUUGGCGGGGGAGCACUGCAACGGGAGGAGCGUGCGGUUUAAUUGGAUUCAACGCCGGAAAACUCACCAAGGCCGACUGUUAGAUGAAGAUCAGCGUAACGAGCUUAUCGGAUUAUCAGAGAGGUGGUGCAUGGCCGUCGUCAGUUCGUACUGUAAAGCGUUCUGUUAAGUCAGAUAACGAACGAGACCCGCAUCCCUAUUUGC
rnacentral:rRNA from 1 species